rnacentral:lncRNA from 1 species
GGCUGCAAGGCCUCCGCCCGUGGGCGCGGAGAUGGCGGGGCCCGGGGCGGCGGCGGGUUGCGCGCGGCAGGUUCUGGAGCAGCUGCGCAGGGUUGUGGCAGCAUUGCCUGAAGAUAUGAGAGCAGACUUCAAUCCCAAUGGUUUUUCAUUGGAAUUGGCGAUAUGUGUGCUUACCGUUGGACUGCUUGCAAUUGUCCUGUUUCUGUGGAGAGGCUUCCGAUCAAUUCGAAGCCGAUUUUAUGUGGGGAGAGAAAAAAAACUUGCUCUUGAGCUUUCUGCACUAAUUGAAGAAAAAUGCAAACUACUUGAAAAAGUCA